rnacentral:rRNA from 1 species
AGCCAUGCCGCGUGUAUGAAGAAGGCCUUCGGGUUGUAAAGUACUUUCAGCGGGGAGGAAGGGAGUGAGGUUAAUAACCUUAUUCAUUGACGUUACCCGCAGAAGAAGCACCGGCUAACUCCGUGCCAGCAGCCGCGGUAAUACGGAGGGUGCAAGCGUUAAUCGGAAUUACUGGGCGUAAAGCGCACGCAGGCGGUCUGUCAAGUCGGAUGUGAAAUCCCCGGGCUCAACCUGGGAACUGCAUUCGAAACUGGCAGGCUGGAGUCUUGUAGAGGGGGGUAGAAUUCCAGGUGUAGCGGUGAAAUGCGUAGAGAUCUGGAGGAAUACCGGUGGCGAAGGCGGCCCC